rnacentral:rRNA from 1 species
AUUGAACGCUGGCGGCAGGCCUAACACAUGCAAGUCGAACGGUAACAGGAAGAAGCUUGCUUCUUUGCUGACGAGUGGCGGACGGGCGAGUAAUGUCUGGGAAACUGCCUGAUGGAGGGGGAUAACUACUGGAAACGGUAGCUAAUACCGCAUAAUGUCGCAAGACCAAAGAGGGGGACCUUCGGGCCUCUUGCCAUCGGAUGUGCCCAGAUGGGAUUAGCUAGUAGGUGGGGUAACGGCUCACCUAGGCGACGAUCCCUAGCUGGUCUGAGAGGAUGACCAGCCACACUGGAACUGAGACACGGUCCAGACUCCUACGGGGGGCAGCAGUGGGGAAUAUUGCACAAUGGGCGCAAGCCUGAUGCAGCUAUGCCGCGUGUAUGAAGAAGGCCUUCGGGUUGUAAAGUACUUUCAGCGGGGAGGAAGGGAGUAAAGUUAAUACCUUUGCUCAUUGACGUUACCCGCAGAAGAAGCACCGGCUAACUCCGUG